GAUGAACGCUGGCGGCGUGCUUAACACAUGCAAGUCGAACGGACGGAUUGGAGCUUGCUCCAUGAAGUUAGUGGCGGACGGGUGAGUAACGCGUGGGUAACCUGCCCUAUGCAGGGGGAUAACAACAAGAAAUUGUUGCUAAUACCGCAUAAUAUAGCAGCUUCGCAUGAAGCAGCUAUCAAAGAUUUAUCGGCAUAGGAUGGACCCGCGUUAGAUUAGCUAGUUGGUGAGAUAAAAGCUCACCAAGACGACGAUCUAUAGCCGGCCUGAGAGGGUGAACGGCCACACUGGGACUGAGACACGGCCCAGACUCCUACGGGAGGCAGCAGUGGGGAAUAUUGCACAAUGGGCGCAAGCCUGAUGCAGCGACGCCGCGUGAAGGAUGAAGGUUUUCGGAUCGUAAACUUCUAUCAGCAGGGAGGAACCAAAUGACGGUACCUGACUAAGAAGCCCCGGCUAACUACG
rnacentral:rRNA from 1 species